UGCAGGAUCAACCAGGUAGCAUUCCUCACGGACAUCGGGCCGCAAGACGUGUAUUGUCAGUGCAGCACCGAACGUCAUUCGAACGUGGCGUUGACGCCAUUUUGUGGGCAACCGGGGGUCGGGGACCCCAUACCGCUGCGUUUUCCACAUCCCGGAGGUCGAGCGGGAACCCAUGGGCCGCAACAACCGUGGCGUGCGCAGGCAUUGCGGAACACGGGUCUCGCAUCGGGGUUCUACCGUAGCCGCGCCGUGUGGACGGGCAGCGCUAGGCGAACGUUGAAAGGAUUAGCCGACACAAUUCCAUCACAUAGGCAUGCAAUACAGGAAACCGACAAUCGUGGCCAAGGCAACUCGCUCUUGUGCCAACCACUGAAGAGGAACGCACGAUAGGACGUCGCUGCCCAAGCAGGGAUCCAACCAACCCAUACAAGA
rnacentral:misc_RNA from 1 species